CCCUCCCCUCCCCCCCCCCCCCUCUCCCCCCCCCCGCCGGAUAGAUAAGUUAGAAACAUAAGGUUGAACCGGCCUCCCACUCGCUAUUCCGGCGCCCCCUUCCUCCUCCCCCCAAACUUUUUUAAAUUGCUGUGGUAUUUUGACUAUACAAAGGUAUUGAAAUAAGAUUUUAAUUGAAUGCUAAGAGAAUGGAAGUCCAGAAAAAAACUUUUUUUAAAUUAAAAAUUGAAGUUUUUUUAAUUUGUGCAGAAACAAUUAUUUAUAUUAAAGACAAGAAGACCCUAUGAAUUUAUUAAAUUUUUAUUUAAUAUGUAAUUACUAUUAGAAAAAUUUUGGCUGGGGCGGCUAGAAAAUAUUAUAAACUUUUUAAAAAUAAAAUGAUCCAUUAUUAAUGAUUUUAUGUUAAAUACUCUAGGGAUAACAGCGUUAUAUUUUUUGAUAGAUCAUAUUGACAAAAAAGUUUGCGACCUCGAUGUUGGAUUAGGAUACUUUUUUAAUGAAGAUAUUAAAAAAAG
rnacentral:rRNA from 1 species